CGGCGCUUGCUGCGCGCCGGCUCGGCCCCGGGCAGGUCUGCAGCCCUGGAGCGGCCGACGUCCCGGAGUGCCCAGUCCCGCCGCUCCUCCUCCUCCUGGCCUAACCCGGCCUUUGUUUCCCGAACUCGACAGCUUUCGGAGAGGUGCAUUCCAUCCAUCACCUCCCUGGUCCUCUCCGCCUCCUCUUAGGGGGCAGCAAAUUCAGAUGCCUUCAGGGGCCAAAUAAGGAGUCGAACGGGAGGAUGCAAUGCAAUAGAAGAGAUGGAGACCGGGAGAUGGACGCCUGAAGGCAUUCAGAUUUUAAAAAGUGAAACAAACGCCUUCCUCAAAAAGUUAGACUUAGAACUACCUUAUGGCCCAGCAAUUGCACUUCUAGGAGACAGUGAUCCCCGAACACACAGAGAUUGGCUUCCAGUCCAUUUCCAGACCCCCAGCACCUCCUCCAGGACCUGACAGUAGGCUGUGCUCAGCUCCACCGCACCAUCUGCCAAAAAGCCACAUCAUGGCUGCUUCUAACCAGGAGGAGGAUGAAGAAAGGCAGGCCUGGCUCUAAUCCCAGUCCCAAACUUCUGGUGACCUCUCUAAACCUCAGUUUCCUCAUUUGUAAACAGGCAGAAUCGUCACAAAGAUGAGAUGGCAUAACCCUGGUGAAGGAAGGACUUGACAGCUAUGUGUCCCCUCCCACCCUUCACCCUUGCCCUCCCUUGUCUUCCUGUCCUCGUGGAGUGGUGCCAGGCCCCGGAGGAGGGAGGAGGGAGGAGAGCUGGGUGUUCCUGGAGACACAUCUGAGGGUCUGAGGCCUCGCAAGGAACAGGUAACAGGUAAAUCCCGGUGGCUGCUAUACCUCCUGGCAGCUCCUCCAAGAUUAUUUCAAACCCAAGAGCCGUGUCCCGGUGGGGCCAAGGCAGUAGGACCCUGCCCGUCCAUGCCCACACUACACCCUGGGGUGAAAGUGGAUUCCUGGGACCUGACUGCCCUCCCUGAGUCAUCCGUGCUGCGGAAGAGCCUUUGUUUGCUCCGACUGCCCCCCUGCUGCCCCCCUGACCAGGGCAGCCCCAGGCUGCAGGUGGGCGUGGGAGCUGAGAGCUGCCAGGACUUGCUCAGGUGCCUGCCCUGUGGCAGAGAGUUUAGGCGUGCAGGAUCAGCCAGAGCUGCAGUGUGAAAGCCGCCCUGGGAGGACCGGCAGCCUGACUGGCCCACAGGCUGGUCACUGGGUGGUAACAGGGCACUUUGCUCUGGAACGAGGAAGACCUGGGCUCCGAUCCCUGGAUCA